AAAAACUCACGGAAUGGACAUAAUGGAGGGUAAUUGAAAGGGUUGAAACUAGAAAGGGUUGGAAUGGACGUAAACAAUGUCCAUGUCACUAUAUUUGUUUGUAUUACAAGUGGGGUUUGCUGACCUUGAAUUUGUUCAUGAUAAACAAAACCUUGUUAGUGGGGCGGUAAGGAUAUUAAGUUUGUUCUUAGUAUAGAUAUGUGUCAUAGUUACAAACUUCUUUUGCG
rnacentral:lncRNA from 1 species